GGGUGCGAUCAUACCAGCACUAAUGCACCAGAUCCCAUCAAAACUUCAUAGUUAAGCGUGCUCGGAUGAGAGUAGUACUACGAUGGGUAACCCCCUGGGAAGUCCUCAUGUUACACUCC